GACGAACGCUGGCGGCGUGCUUAACACAUGCAAGUCGAACGAAGUGGUGAACGGGUGAGUAACGCGUAAUCAAUCUGCCCUUCAGAGGGGGACAACAGUUGGAAACGACUGCUAAUACCUCAUACUGAAGCAGGGGCUUGCGUAUGAAUAGCUAGUUGGAGGGGUAACGGCUCAGCAAGGCGAUGGUCAGUAGGCGGUCUGGGAGGAGGAACGGCCACACUGGGACUGAGACACGGCCCAGAAGACUACGGGAGGCAGCAGUGGGGAAUAUUCCGAAAUGGACGAAAGUCAGACGGAGCAACGCCGCGUUAGGGAUGACGGCAGUCGGGUUGUAAAGCUCUUUUAAUCGGGACGCGGUACCGGAAUAGAAAGCCACGGCUAACUACGUGCCAGCAGCCGCGGUAAUUC
rnacentral:rRNA from 1 species